GACGACCGCCAUCACUGCUCCUCGCGAGCUCCAGGCGUCGACGACCUCGUUUUGUUCUCCCACCACCAUGUCUAAUCAACCACCACGGCUGUCGGGAAACGAAAAUCAACCACCACGUGCUCAGCCAUCCAGUUCGCCUCAAGCUUAUUUGAUGAAUCAAAUGAUAUCAUAGAAUUGCAUCUGUAGUUCGCCAGAGAAAUUAUUACCGGGCAUCGGAGAUUCACAAAGACCGUGUCAGCCACAACCUUCUCGCCAUUCCUGUUUCUUUGGCACCAUAUGAUUAUCCUUCUCGCCAUUCCUGUAGGCUUUGCGCAUAUGCAAUUUAAAGACUGAGGCACCAGAUAGUCUACUAAAAGUGUGUGGAGAGCACGAACCUUGAGAAGAUCGAAAACCUUCUCACAGAUGUACUUCUGUCUGAUUGUAGCACCCCUUUGAUGUAAUUUAUCUGGAUGAACACAGAGAGUUGCCUUCCUGUAGGCUUUCUUCACAGCAACAGUUGUAAUGAGAUCUGUAAGUGGCACUGGCUGCCAACCACUGUCAGGUCCAAGAAUCUGCCAGGGAAAGAGAAGAGGCAAAAUGAUAUUAUUUUUAGUUCUGCA